rnacentral:rRNA from 1 species
CAGUAGCCGCGGGAAUACGUAGGGUGCGAGCGUUAAUCGGAAUUACUGGGCGUAAAGCGUGCGCAGGCGGUUGUGUAAGACAGGUGUGAAAUCCCCGGGCUUAACCUGGGAACUGCGCUUGUGACUGCACAGCUAGAGUAUGGCAGAGGGGGGUGGAAUUCCACGUGUAGCAGUGAAAUGCGUAGAGAUGUGGAGGAACACCGAUGGCGAAGGCAGCCCCCUGGGCCAAUACUGACGCUCAUGCACGAAAGCAUGGGGAGCAAACAGGAUUAGAUACCCCGGUAGUCCCUGUCUCUUAUAC